rnacentral:rRNA from 1 species
CCCUUAGAUGUUCUGGGCCGCACGCGCGCUACACUGAUGCAUUCAACGAGUCUAAAACCUGGUCUGAUAGGGCUGGGUAAUCUUUUGAAAGUGCAUCGUGAUUGGGAUAGAUGAUUGCAAUUCUUCAUCUUCAACGAGGAAUGCCUAGUAAACGCAAGUCAUCAGCUUGCAUUGAUUACGUCCCUGCCCUUUGUACACACCGCCCGUCGCUCCUACCGAUUGAAUGAUCCGAUGAAUACCAUGGAUUGAGAGUACGAAUGGGUUCGCUCAUUUCUGCUGCUCGAGAAGUGGAGUAAAUCUUAUCAUUUAGAGGAAGGGGAAGUCGUAACA